ACGAUGACCUCCUUCGGGAGGGGAUUAGUGGCGAACGGGUGAGUAACACGUGGGCAAUCUGCCCUGCACUCUGGGACAAGCCCUGGAAACGGGGUCUAAUACCGGAUACGACCACUGAGGGCAUCCUCGGUGGUGGAAAGCUCCGGCGGUGCAGGAUGAGCCCGCGGCCUAUCAGCUUGUUGGUGGGGUGAUGGCCUACCAAGGCGACGACGGGUAGCCGGCCUGAGAGGGCGACCGGCCACACUGGGACUGAGACACGGCCCAGACUCCUACGGGAGGCAGCAGUGGGGAAUAUUGCACAAUGGGCGAAAGCCUGAUGCAGCGACGCCGCGUGAGGGAUGACGGCCUUCGGGUUGUAAACCUCUUUCAGCAGGGAAGAAGCGAAAGUGACGGUACCUGCAGAAGAAGCGCCGGCUAACUACGUGCCAGCAGCCGCGGUAAUACGUAGGGCGCGAGCGUUGUCCGGAAUUAUUGGGCGUAAAGAGCUCGUAGGCGGCUUGUCGCGUCGGUUGUGAAAGCCCGGGGCUUAACCCCGGGUCUGCAGUCGAUACGGGCAGGCUAGAGUUCGGUAGGGGAGAUCGGAAUUCCUGGUGUACCGGUGAAAUGCGCAGAUAUCAGGAGGAACACCGGUGGCGAAGGCGGAUCUCUGGGCCGAUACUGACGCUGAGGAGCGAAAGCGUGGGGAGCGAACAGGAUUAGAUACCCUGGUAGUCCACGCCGUAAACGUUGGGCACUAGGUGUGGGCGACAUUCCACGUCGUCCGUGCCGCAGCUAACGCAUU
rnacentral:rRNA from 1 species